GAUGAACGCUAGCGACAGGCCUAACACAUGCAAGUCGAGGGGCAGCAUGAAAUUAGCUUGCUAAUUUUGAUGGCGACCGGCGCACGGGUGAGUAGCACGUAUGCAACCUGCCUGUAAGCGGGGGAUAACCCGGAGAAAUUCGGACUAAUACCGCAUAAUAUCAUUAAUUCGCAUGUUUUAAUGAUUAAAAAUUUAUUUCUUACAGAUGGGCAUGCGUAUGAUUAGCUAGUUGGCGGGGUAACGGCCCACCAAGGCGACGAUCAUUAGGGGUUCUGAGAGGAAGGUCCCCCACAUUGGAACUGAGACACGGUCCAAACUCCUACGGGAGGCAGCAGUGAGGAAUAUUGGUCAAUGGACGAGAGUCUGAACCAGCCAUGUCGCGUGAAGGAUGACUGUCCUAUGGAUUGUAAACUUCUUUUAUAUGGGGAUAAAGUGUGAGACUUGUCUCAUUUUGCAUGUACCAUAUGAAUAAGCAUCGGCUAACUCCGUGCCAGCAGCCGCGGUAACAC
rnacentral:rRNA from 1 species